GGUGCGCAGGUGGACUGGAAAAGAGGAAGGCAAACGCAGUGGCUAGGCGGAGACCUCCCAAAUCCCACGUCUCCCCGAGAAUCCCCGACGGGCUACAGACCUAGGGCAGCCAUAAGAAAAAACCCCUUGAGGCAUUGAAAUCUCUAAUCCAUGUCUGGAAACAGAUUGAUGGUUCCCGAAAGUCCAGUGGAAACACUCUGUCUUCCUGCUUUGAGGACAGCUGAAGUCUUGCCACUUCUUCUGGAUGCUCUGACCAUCAGUAAGAGACACGGUCUGACUUUGUUACCCCGGCUGGAGUGCAGUGGUGCAAUCAUGGCUCACUGCAGCCUUAACCUCCUGGGCUCAAGUGAUCCUCUCGCCAAGGCUAGGAUAAGUAGCUAGGACUACAGAUGCGCCCCAUCACGCCCAGCUAAUUUUACAACUUCUGUAGAGAUGGAGUGUUGCUGGGUUGCCCAGGCUGGUCUUGAAUUCCUGGGCUCAAGCGAUCCUCCUGUGUCCGGAAUUGGUGGGUUCUUGGUCUCACUGACUUCAAGAAUGAAGCCGCGGACCCUCGCGAGUCUGUAUCCACCAGCUACUCUUCCAGAUUCAUGAGGCAAGGCCUGCCUGCUCACCUGGCUGGCCCCAAGCACCUCUUCAACCUGUUGCCACCGUCCUGCCUUGCUGCCCUUCUCAGCUCAUCCAGCAGGGUCUCCAAGUCGUGGAAACAGAAGCACAUAUACACACAUGCUCAUAUGUACAUGCCCACAGUCACAUAAGCACACCGAGAAACACCAUCGCAGACAUGUUCUCACAAGCACAUGUGCAUAACACUCACUACCCCUCACGCGUAUACACAUUAAUACACACACUCAUGCACACUCAGUCUUACACACACAGACACACAGCCAUAAUCACUGUUGUUGGUUGAAUUGUGCCCCCCCAUCCCCACCAAAAAGAUAAGUUGGAGUCCUAACCCCCAGUACCUGGGGAUGUGACCGUAGUUGGAAAUAGGGUGUUUGUAGAUGUAAUCAAAUUAAGAUGAGAUCUUACUGGAUUAGAGUGGGCCUUAAAUCCAGUGACUGGUGUCCUUAUAAGGAGAAAAAGAUUUGAAAACAGAGACAUGGAGACACAGAGCAGAAGGCCAUGUGAUGAUGGAGUCAGAGAUUGGAGUGAUGCAGCUAUGAGCCGAGAAAUACCAAGGUGCUGGCAGCCCCCAGAAGCAAGGAGAGAGGCAAGGAACAAUCUCCAUCAGAGCCUCUGGAAGAAACAGACUCUGCCAACACCUUGAUUUCAGACUUUUGGCCUCCUUCACUGUGCGAGAAUACGUUUCUGUUGUUUUAAACUACUGAGUCACCAA
rnacentral:lncRNA from 1 species